rnacentral:rRNA from 1 species
GAUGAACGCUGGCGGCGUGCCUAAUACAUGCAAGUCGAGCGAACAGACGAGGAGCUUGCUCCUCUGACGUUAGCGGCGGACGGGUGAGUAACACGUGGAUAACCUACCUAUAAGACUGGGAUAACUUCGGGAAACCGGAGCUAAUACCGGAUAAUAUAUUGAACCGCAUGGUUCAAUAGUGAAAGACGGUUUUGCUGUCACUUAUAGAUGGAUCCGCGCCGCAUUAGCUAGUUGGUAAGGUAACGGCUUACCAAGGCAACGAUGCGUAGCCGACCUGAGAGGGUGAUCGGCCACACGGGAGCUGAGACACGGUCCAGACUCCUGCGGGAGGCAGCAGUAGGGAAUCUUCCGCAAUGGGCGAAAGCCUGACGGAGCAACGCCGCGUGAGUGAUGAAGGUCUUCGGAUCGUAAAACUCUGUUAUUAGGGAAGAACAAAUGUGUAAGUAACUAUGCACGUCUUGACGGUACCUGAUCAGAAAGCCACGGCUAACUACGUG